ensembl:lncRNA
GUCAGCCUGGCCUUUUGGAAGCAGCUGUAAAAUAACCGGUCCUUGUGUUUCGGUUUGUGUUGGUAUAUCUCAGAGCUGGGCGGUCCGGAUGAUAACUUCGGGGCAAUGAGCACUUUCCCACUCCUAGGAGGUGGGAAAGCCCUGAAUUAGCAACAUCAACACCACCAACAAACAGUCCCGAGAAUCUUCUACAGUCUGGAGACACAAAUGAGCAAAUAAUCACCACAGAAACAAGGAGCUUCUGAUGAGAGGCAGGGCGUGAAGGAAAGAAGCUGAUAAGUCUGCAAGAGUACUGGAGUGGGUUGCCAUGCCAUCCUCCAGAGGAUCUUCCCAACCCAGGGACCAAACCCAGGUCUCCUGAAUUGCAGGCUGAUCCUUUAC